UACGUAGGGUGCAGGCGUUAAUCGGAAUUAUUGGGCGUAAAGCGUGCGCAGGCGGCUUUGCAAGUCAGAUGUGAAAUCCCCGGGCUUAACCUGGGAACUGCAUUUGUGACUGCAUGGCUAGAGUGCGGCAGAGGGGGAUGGAAUUCCGCGUGUAGCAGUGAAAUGCGUAGAUAUGCGGAGGAACACCGAUGGCGAAGGCAAUCCCCUGGGCCUGCACUGACGCUCAUGCACGAAAGCGUGGGGAGCAAACAGG
rnacentral:rRNA from 1 species